rnacentral:rRNA from 1 species
GACGAACGCUGGCGGCGUGCUUAACACAUGCAAGUCGAACGGUAAGGCCCUUCGGGGUACACGAGUGGCGAACGGGUGAGUAACACGUGGGUGAUCUGCCCUGCACUUCGGGAUAAGCCUGGGAAACUGGGUCUAAUACCGGAUAGGACCACUGCCUGCAUGGGUGGUGGUGGCAAGCUUUUGCGGUGUGGGAUGGGCCCGCGGCCUAUCAGCUUGGUGGUGGGGUGCUGGCCUACCCAGGCGACGACGGGUAGCCGGCCUGAGAGGGUGACCGGCCACACUGGGACUGAGAUACGGCCCAGACUCCUGCGGGAGGCAGCAGUGGGGAAUAUUGCACAAUGGGCGCAAGCCUGAUGCAGCGACGCCGCGUGAGGGAUGACGGCCUUCGGGUUGUAAACCUCUUUCAGCACCGACGAAGCGCAAGUGACGGUAGGUGCAGAAGAAGGACCGGCCAACUACGUGCCAGCCGCCGCGGUAA